UACGGAGUGUGCAAGCGUUAUCCGGAUUCACUGGGUUUACAGGGUGCGUAGGUGGGUCUGUAAGUCCGUGGUGAAAUCUCCGAGCUUAACUUGGAAACUGCCAUGGAUACUAUAGGUCUUGAAUGCUGUGGAGGUCAGCGGAAUAUGUCAUGUAGCGGUGAAAUGCUUAGAUAUGACAUAGAACACCAAUUGCGAAGGCAGCUGGCUACACAAAUAUUGACACUGAGGCACGAAAGCGUGGGGAUCAAACAGG
rnacentral:rRNA from 1 species